rnacentral:rRNA from 1 species
GACGGAGGAUGCAAGCGUUAUCCGGAAUUAUUGGGCGUAAAGCGUCCGCAGGUGGCUGUUCAAGUCUGCUGUCAAAGCGCAGAGCUUAACUCUGUACAGGCGGUGGAAACUGAAGAGCUAGAGUAUGGUAGGGGUAGAGGGAAUUCCCGGUGUAGCGGUGAAAUGCGUAGAUAUCGGGAAGAACACCAGUGGCGAAAGCGAUCUACUGGGCCAUAACUGACACUGAGGGACGAAAGCUAGGGGAGCGAAAGGG